rnacentral:SRP_RNA from 1 species
CGGAUGGGCUUGGGCGGCGCCAAGUUCCGAACCUGGUCAGGUCCGGGAGGAAGCAGCCAUAAGGGACCGCUGACGAGCGCCCAAUCCCAUCCAGGG